CACUUGUCCGAAAUGUCUUGAUUAAAAGUUUCUGAUCGCAGGUGUUUCCGCAAUCUUGCUUGAACUGCACGAGUCGCGUAGCCUGAAGAACGAGACGAUUAAUCGCGAAAAGGAACAAAUACUUCAUCAAGCGGGAUAAAGACGCUGGCACAUCACAGACACUACCGCAGCAGUUGUUCCAUAUAUUCUUCUUCCUCAUCUCGAUCCAGUCGCCGUGGUUUGUUUAACGGUCGCCUAUGCCGUCAUCAUUCCCACAUCACUUGCGGGUAACAUCAUGAACAUCUACGCUAUCAGGAGGAACCCUACACUUAAAACAACGACUAACUUCCUCAUCUUAAAUCUUUCGAGUGCGGACCUUAUCACCACCUUCUUGAGCUGUCCUUACAGGAUAGCUUCAGUAUUCGUCRGUAGAAGGUGGUUUCAAGGACUCUUUGCUGAUUUCUUCUGCAAAUUCUUGUCUUACUCAAAAAAUGUGACUUUAACUGCAUCUAUUAUUACUCUGGUGCUUAUCUCAAUCGACAGAUUCUAUUCCGUAUACUACCCUACCAAGAGAUCACCAAUUGCUACUCACAAAAGAAAACUUGUCCUGGUUACUUGGAUAGUAUCGAUUUUACUACCAAUAAUCACCUACAUAGAACAAAAGAACACUCUCUUCGCCGACGGCAAUUAUUACUGUUAUUACAAAUCUGUUCUUGGCCCAGUAGCUGUCAGCACAAUAGUAGCGUACGCUACAUUAAAAACAUUUCUUUUCUUUUCUGCACCUAUCGCAAUCAUGUGCACAUUGUACUCCCUCAUCUACAAUAAACUAUGGAACAGAACAGCUAUAGGAAGCAACUCACAAAAUGUGGCCAUCAACAAGCGCGUUACCACGGCAAUGGUUGCCAUAGUGACUAACUUUAUCAUAUGUUGGCUCCCACAAGAGGUGUGUGUGUACCUUGACUUUAUUUAUGAAUAUUUGUCAAAAAGUAUGUCACACGCCAAGGUAUUCAGCUAUUUGGUUUGGAACGUAAACAGCGCAACCAACCCUUGGCUGUACGCAUACUUUAAUAGAGCAUUAAGACUACACCACCUCAGCCUUCUUAAUAAUAUCACGACCUUCUUUGCGCUCAAACGAAUAAGAACCAACAACCAAAUCAAUGUUAAGGAGUCGACUCGAGGAGAGAAUGGAUCGGCAACCUCACCGCAGUAGGAGAGACCUCCCAUCUACACAGCUAAUCUGAUUCAAUGUUAGGUGGCGUACUGAAUGGAUGGAUCACCGCACCGCAGGAGGAGAGACCUCCCAUCCACACAGCGAAUCUGAUUCAAUGUUAGGUGGCACACUGAAUGAAUGGAUCACCGCACCGCAGUAGGACAGACCUCCCAUCCACACAGCGAAUCUGAUUCAAUGUUAGGUGGCACACUGAAUGGAUGGAUCACCGCCGCACCGCAGUAGUUGUAGUAGUAGUGAACAGCACAACGAAUAGACCACAAGCUAUCCAGUGAACAGUAUUCAACCAAAUGUCAAUAUUUUGGGCUGAUCUAAGCCAGGAAAUCCAAUCUAUUUGCUUAUUAGAGAUUAUGAACAUUAAUAAUAACAAUCCUUUAAGUUUUGGCUGACUCUAUAAAUUGAGUGCCGGUUCAAAAAAUCCCGACCCUCCCAUCCCUUCUUUAUUCUUGCGCAUUCUCGCAUCCCGCGUUUCUUUGAAACUGAAGACGAAGACUAUUUAAAAAAAUACUAUAGCAUACUAGCUCGUUCCAAGCCCAAAGAGUUGGCGUUUGUAGAUUAAGCAUGAUUKAAAUUACAACAGAUUAACAUUGCCGCACUUGAAAAUAAAUUCGUUUUUCGUGUCUUCCGUACAAGUAAUGACGUCAGAUCGAUACUGUCAUGGUUACGUAUGACGUAAGAAACCAGGAAACGAUUAAGACUUUCAAUGUCGGUGUAUCUUUUCUCUCAUUUGUAACAUGAAAUAGGUUGAAUUGAAAUAUUUCCUAUACUAUCGAUUAACUAUCAAUAUUGAUUGCUGUAAUCUAUUUGAUCAAGAAAUCACUAGUUUAUCGUCAAACUUUCUCUUCCAUCAUUAAGGACAUGUUAAAGACUUGACCUAAACUAAUACGCCAAGACAGGUGUUAUUGAUCCUUAAUGCAAUAAAAAGCGGUCAAUAUGGAAAUCGCUUCUCUCAGUA